rnacentral:lncRNA from 1 species
ACCAAAAUUAAAAUGUUUAUCCUCUGCAUUGUCACAAUUUGUCAAUCCGAUGUGAGGAUCUAUUCCUGGAUCUGUAGCAAGUCGAGAAUCUGUUUUAGGGACUGUACACUGCGCCUUAGAGUUAUAAGAUAAACCUCCCCAAGAGGUCUGUUUUAUAGCAUGAUCAUCACGACAAUUAUUUGAAGGAUUUGGAGUAAGAAGCAAAAACAACAUUU